AUUGCUAAACAUAAAGUACAUGAAAGGAAUCAGUUAACCAUGUAUUUGUGUACACUUUGAACCAUGAUGUGAUAUCUACCAUAAAUAUUUCAUUAGACAGCAUUUGUUUCACCUCUCGCCAGGGUUCAUUCAAGCCAUAUUCUCCUAGCUGUUCUCUCUGCCCAAAAUGAUGGGAUAUCAGUUUGCCAAGCUUCUUUUACCUUCUUUAAAUCUUUGCUCGAAUUUUACCUUUUAAGUUUGACCAAUCAAACUUAAAACUGACACCAAU